GGGUUGUGAGGUUAAGCGACUAAGCGUACACGGUGGAUGCCCUGGCAGUCAGAGGCGAUGAAGGACGUGCUAAUCUGCGAUAAGCGUCGGUAAGGUGAUAUGAACCGUUAUAACCGGCGAUUUCCGAAUGGGGAAACCCAGUGUGAUUCGUCACACUAUCAUUAACUGAAUCCAUAGGUUAAUGAGGCGAACCGGGGGAACUGAAACAUCUAAGUACCCCGAGGAAAAGAAAUCAACCGAGAUUCCCCCAGUAGCGGCGAGCGAACGGGGAGCAGCCCAGAGCCUGAAUCAGUGUGUGUGUUAGUGGAAGCGUCUGGAAAGGCGCGCGAUACAGGGUGACAGCCCCGUACACAAAAAUGCACAUGCUGUGAGCUCGAUGAGUAGGGCGGGACACGUGGUAUCCUGUCUGAAUAUGGGGGGACCAUCCUCCAAGGCUAAAUACUCCUGACUGACCGAUAGUGAACCAGUACCGUGAGGGAAAGGCGAAAAGAACCCCGGCGAGGGGAGUGAAAAAGAACCUGAAACCGUGUACGUACAAGCAGUGGGAGCACGCUUAGGCGUGUGACUGCGUACCUUUUGUAUAAUGGGUCAGCGACUUAUAUUCUGUAGCAAGGUUAACCGAAUAGGGGAGCCGAAGGGAAACCGAGUCUUAACUGGGCGUUAAGUUGCAGGGUAUAGACCCGAAACCCGGUGAUCUAGCCAUGGGCAGGUUGAAGGUUGGGUAACACUAACUGGAGGACCGAACCGACUAAUGUUGAAAAAUUAGCGGAUGACUUGUGGCUGGGGGUGAAAGGCCAAUCAAACCGGGAGAUAGCUGGUUCUCCCCGAAAGCUAUUUAGGUAGCGCCUCGUGAAUUCAUCUCCGGGGGUAGAGCACUGUUUCGGCAAGGGGGUCAUCCCGACUUACCAACCCGAUGCAAACUGCGAAUACCGGAGAAUGUUAUCACGGGAGACACACGGCGGGUGCUAACGUCCGUCGUGAAGAGGGAAACAACCCAGACCGCCAGCUAAGGUCCCAAAGUCAUGGUUAAGUGGGAAACG
rnacentral:rRNA from 1 species